GCCGAAGUGGCGGAACUGGCAGACGCGCAGCGUUGAGGGCGCUGUGAGCAUUUUGCUUGUGUGGGUUCGAAUCCCACCUUCGGCACCA
rnacentral:tRNA from 2 species